AUUGAACGCUGGCGGCAGGCCUAACACAUGCAAGUCGAACGGUAACAGGAAGAAGCUUGCUUCUUUGCUGACGAGUGGCGGACGGGUGAGUAAUGUCUGGGAAACUGCCUGAUGGAGGGGGAUAACUACUGGAAACGGUAGCUAAUACCGCAUAACGUCGCAAGACCAAAGAGGGGGACCUUCGGGCCUCUUGCCAUCGGAUGUGCCCAGAUGGGAUUAGCUAGUAGGUGGGGUAACGGCUCACCUAGGCGACGAUCCCUAGCUGGUCUGAGAGGAUGACCAGCCACACUGGAACUGAGACACGGUCCAGGCUCCUACGGGAGGCAGCAGUGGGGAAUAUUGCACAAUGGGCGCAAGCCUGAUGCAGCCAUGCCGCGUGUAUGAAGAAGGCCUGCGGGUUGUAAAGUACUUUCAGCGGGGAGGAAGGGAGUAAAGUUAAUACCUUUACUCAUUGACGUUACCCGCAGAAGAAGCACCGGCUAACUCCGU
rnacentral:rRNA from 1 species